rnacentral:rRNA from 1 species
UACGUAGGGGGCAAGCGUUGUCCGGAAUUAUUGGGCGUAAAGGAGCGCGCAGGCGGUCGGUUCAAGUCGCGUGUGAAAGCCCCCCGGCUCAACUGGGGAGGGUCACGCGAUACUGAUCGACUCGAAGGCAGGAGAGGGUAGUGGAAUUCCCGGUGUAGUGGUGAAAUGCGUAGAUAUCGGGAGGAACACCAGUAGCGAAGGCGGCUCGCUGGGCCGUUCCUGACGCUGAGACGCGAAAGCUAGGGGAGCGAACAGG